CAACAAUUUCAAGUUUUGCCCUCUUUAAUAUUAAUCUAAAAUAACAAUUUCAAGUUUUGCCCUCUUUGAACUUGAAAUAACAAUUAUAUAGCUUUGCCUUCUUAUAGUCAAGGGAAAAAAAGUAAGAACAAAGAAGGAUUAAAACAGAGUAUGAAUAAUUUUUUUUAAACAUUCUGUUCGAUUUCCCGCAAACCCCAAAUUCAAUCUAUAUUUCCCGCAAACCCUAAAAAACUCAUUCUACUCAUUAUCUUCUCACCUAAUCUGAUCUCCAGUGAUUUUGGCAAAAAUCUUCAAUCGAACAUCAUCUCUCGAUCCCCUGUUGUUGAUUAUCUUGUUGCUGAGCAACCAAAAUAUUACACUUCAAUUUCAGCAGAAUGAUGCAUAUAGAUAAGUUUUUUCAGCUGUUCUUUUUUCUGAGUUAUGAGGCUUUGCAAUAGAGUAAACUUUUGCAACAGUAAGCUCUCAAAGUCAUCUCUUGUUUUCUUUGUCAUUUUUCUACUUCAGUUCAGUUUAAGAAGGACCGACUGACAGUGACUCAUACGCGGAAUAGAGAUUUCCACCUAAAGUUUAUAAACUGACAGCUUCUCUUUUCCCUUCUCCACUAUAAUGUGAAUUUGUUAUCAUGUAAAAGCUGUAUAUUAUGCUUGGUUUGGGAAUUACUGUGAUAUACUAGAAGUUAUCAGUUAGAACUGACCUCUAAAUGCUAUAUUUUCCCAAAGACCAAGUAUAACAAGUUAAAAGUAUAAAUGUUAAGCAAGAAAGAAUCAGUUUAUCUACGGCACAUUUAUGUUCAUGAUCCGAUGAAUAUCUUGUCUAUUUGUUGGUAUGGGAGCUCAUCAGACGUCAGUGUUAAGUGUUUUUAUUGAUUUUGAUAAUGACAUUGUUUUAUGGAACAAAUGUUAGAGUAGCAUAACUUGGUAGUUGCUUGUUCAACUUUUUCUAAAUUUGGACAUUACAUUAAGAAGGUGAGCUGACUGAUGCAGGGGAUCAUGGCGCCAAAAAAAGAAUUUAGGAAUAUGACAGAGCUUAAUCCUAACGUAAUUUCUUUACAUUUUAAUCUGUGCUCUUUCUUUAAAUAGAAAUAUUUGAUGUUUAUAUUUAUGCUAGAGUAACUAGCUAUGAUAAUAUUCAAGUGAGUUGAUUAGUUACAGAUAGUUUGACUUGGGUAAAGUUCUGAAACUUUGAUUAAAUUACUUGAGUUCCUUUUGUUUGAUAAUAUCAAGAUUUAGAACUUUGAAAUUGAUUAGGGUUUCGAAGGCCAUUCAAUGGUUUGGAAAUGCAAAACAAUAAAAUUACCUCGUGUAUACACCCAUCUCUUUCUACAAUUUGUGAAAAUAAGAUAGGGCGUCCACAACAAAAUUCUGGAAUAUGUCAGUGACUAGUAGAAGAAGUAAUGAUCAGCUGCUAGUUUAUAUGGUUCUUGAUAUGUCUGUUCCAUUGUUGUGGCUUUUGUAGCUCUCUGGAUUUAUUUUAAUUUGGUGGCUUUUCGUUUGUAUAAGCACACUCACUUCAAGUUUCAUGGGUAGUGUUUGUUUAUUGUUGGGUGUUUUUGAUCCUUGAGAUGUGUAAGAUAUGCUCAAGAUUGUGAUAAACCAUUCGAGAAUAAAUGGCCAAUGAUGCUUGUGAAUGUGGUGCUUAACUGCUUAUACUUAUUUGAUGUGUUGUCUUUCUAAUUUUCUUUGAAAAUAUUUGUUUUAUUAGAUUAUGAAGGAAGAAUAACCUAUGGCAGAACCUGAAGUUGUUGGGAGGCAAGAGCUGGAGAUUGUGAUGGGCAAUGAGCAUAUAUUAAUAUUGUUUGUGGAUAGAUCUCAAGUAAACAUUAUGUGAAUAUAAUUUUGUUAAAAAUUUUGUAAAUAAGUAUAGUAGGAGGCUACCAUAACUGUUGAGGAUUUUGUUAAAAUUUUAAUAAAUCAGUAUAGUAAUAUUUUUUCCCUUGGUAUUA